GAUGAACGCUAGCGGCAGGCCUAACACAUGCAAGUCGAGGGGUAGAAUUAGCUUGCUAAUUUGAGACCGGCGCACGGGUGCGUAACGCGUGUGCAAUCUACCUUGUACAGGGGGAUAGCCCAGAGAAAUUUGGAUUAAUACCCCAUGGUAUAAUUAAUUUGCAUGAAUUGAUUAUUAAAGUUCCAACGGUACAAGAUGAGCAUGCGUCCCAUUAGCUAGUUGGUGUGGUAACGGCAUACCAAGGCGACGAUGGGUAGGGGUCCUGAGAGGGAGAUCCCCCACACUGGUACUGAGACACGGACCAGACUCCUACGGGAGGCAGCAGUGAGGAAUAUUGGUCAAUGGUCGGAAGACUGAACCAGCCAUGCCGCGUGCAGGAAGAAGCAUCUAUGGUGUGUAAACUGCUUUUGUACGGGAAGAACACUCCUACGUGUAGGAGCUUGACGGUACCGUAAGAAUAAGGAUCGGCUAACUCCGUGCCAGCAGCCGAGGU
rnacentral:rRNA from 1 species